AAAAAAUGAGCUAUUCUUGUAUAAUACAGAAGAUCAUCCUAUUAGAACCACGAUUCCAAAAUCUCAUACACUUAAUAUUCCAAAGUCUAAAAAAUAAUUAUACAAACAUGAAAAAAAUACUCAUAAGUACCAGAUCAAUCAUAGUCAUGACCAUUUUUAUCCAUAUAAAAAGAAUAGAUUUUCUACAAUUAAUUAUAAUAAAAAAAAAAUCAAAGAUGCAUUCUUGCCAUAAAUGUGUAAUGAUUGGAUAUUUGGCACAUGUGUACCAUAC
rnacentral:lncRNA from 1 species